AGAGUUUGAUCCUGGCUCAGGACGAACGCUGGCGGCGUGCUUAACACAUGCAAGUUGAACGGGAUCCAUGCUCAACACCGAGCAACGGUACAUUGGGACGUAAAGGACUGAUGAAGGAACCGGUGUUGGGUGUUGAGUAUGGUGAGAGUAGCGGACGGGCGAGUAACGCGUGAGUAACCUACCCUAUGCAGGGGGAUAACAUCGGGAAACCGGUGCUAAUACCGCAUAAGACCACACUGUCGCAUGACAGAGUGAUAAAAGCUCCGGCGGCAUAGGAUGGACUCGCGUCCAAUUAGCUAGUUGGUGAGGUAAUGGCUCACCAAGGCGACGAUUGGUAGCCGAACUGAGAGGUUGGUCGGCCGCAUUGGGACUGAGACACGGCCCAGACUCCUACGGGAGGCAGCAGUGGGGAAUAUUGCGCAAUGGGGGAAACCCUGACGCAGCAACGCCGCGUGAAGGAUGAAGGCUUUCGGGUUGUAAACUACUUUGAUCGGGGACGAAAAUGACGGUACCCGAGGAACAAGCCACGGCUAACUACGUGCCAGCAGCCGCGGUAA
rnacentral:rRNA from 1 species